GGGCAUUCUGAUUCUUUCCUCUUCCUGCUUCUGCUUCACUCUUUUCAUCAAGCCUGGAAAUCUGUUCUGAAGAACACCUCUCCCCCCGAGUUCAUGCGUUCAUUCAUUUGACAAGUCUUUGUGGAUCACCUCGUGCGUCUCCAUCUCUGUGCCAAGUGUUAGGGAUUCAGUAGAUGGCAGAUGCAGCCUCCAUCCAUAUUUGACAUUUUAACUACAUACAGAUGAGAUGGAAAGAGAGAUACUGAAAGAGAGAAAGUGAGAAAUCACCCG